GAAUACGAUGGGCAAACCAACCGAAAGGUUGGGACGCAAAGCCAUGGGUCUAACGCAUGUCACGCUAUGAUUGCCAGGCUACGGAG
rnacentral:ncRNA from 2 species